rnacentral:rRNA from 1 species
AACGAACGCUGGCGGCGUGGAUAAGACAUGCAAGUCGUGCGGAAGAUUUCUGGUAGCAAUAUCGGAAAUCUUUAGCGGCGGAAGGGUGCGUAACGCGUGGGCAAUUUUCCCAAAAGCCCGGAAUAACUCCGAGAAAUCGGAGCUAAUGCCGGAUGUGACUCCUGAGCGGCAUCGCUUGGGACUUAAAGCCGGGGACCGUAAGGCCUGGCACUUCUGGAUGAGCCCGCGGCCUAUCAGCUAGUUGGCGGGGUAACGGCCCACCAAGGCUAAGACGGGUAGCUGGUCUGAGAGGACGACCAGCCACACUGGAACUGAGACACGGUCCAGACACCUACGGGUGGCAGCAGUCGAGAAUUUUUCACAAUGGGGGAAACCCUGAUGGAGCGACGCCGCGUGGGGGAGUGAAUGGCUUCGGCUCGUAAACCCCUGUCAUUCGCGAAUAAACCUGGUGGCUGAACAAGCUGCCAGCUGAUAGUAGCAGAAGAGGAAGGGAC